rnacentral:sRNA from 1 species
GAGAAGCUUCGACCAAGGUUCGACUCGAGCGAAGCGAGAGAACGUUGCCGCAGGCAAUGGCCCGAAGGGCGAGGCGCUUUAGCGCCGAGUA